rnacentral:rRNA from 1 species
GACGGAAGGUGCAAGCGUUGCUCGGAAUCACUGGGCGUAAAGGGUGCGUAGGCGGCUUGGUGGGUCUGGUGUGAAAGCCCCGGGCUCAGCCCGGGAAGGGCACUAGAAACUGCCGAGCUGGAGUGCCGGAGGGGAGAGUGGAAUUCCACGUGUAGCGGUGAAAUGCGUAGAGAUGUGGAGGAACACCGAUGGCGAAGGCAGCCUUCUGGGCCAAUACUGACGCUCAGGCACGAAAGCGUGGGGAGCAAACAGG